AUGGAUACUUUCAUGCCACUCCAAGACCUUCCCGCCCAGCUGGUGACAUCAGUUACUGAUGGAAUACUGAGACAUCACCUCCAUCUCAGUGGUUAUUUGGAAGCAGAGCUGAAUUCUGACAUGAGGUUAUGCUUAUACGUGGACAUGUAUCCUUUCCAUCCCUGAAUACAAAUUCCCUGAAGGCAGGAAAUUUUUAUUUUUGCUUUUCCAUCCCUCCCAUUUUGCAUAGUGCUUUGUAUAAAGCUUUAUAAAUAUUUGUUGUUGAAGUUGAAUGAUAUCACAGUAAGAGAGCUGCAGAGAAAUAAGAUCUAGGGGAGAAGUUAUAGGGAAUACUAAUUGGGAGAGGAAGAAGAGUAACUCUGGUUCUUCUAGUAGCAACAUAUGGCUGUCAGAGUUGGACUAUGAGGAGAGAGCUGAGUCCUGCAGAAAGACAGCUUUUGAACGAUAGUGCUGGAGAAGACUUUUGAGAGUCCCCCGGACAGCAAGGAGAUCGAAUCAGUCAAUGCUUAAAGAAAUGAAUUCAGAUUAUUCCUUAGAAAGUGAAAUACUAAAGCUGAAGCUGAAAUAUUUGUCAGGUCAUUGAGAAGGGAGGACUCUUAGACAAGACCUUGAGGCUGGGAAAGAUUGAAGGCAGAAGAAUAGGGCAGCAGAGGAAGAGAGAGAUGAGAGUGUCUUGGAAACAACAAAUGUGAGCUUAGACAGAUUUUGGGAGAUAGUAAAAGACAGAAGGGCCUGGGAUUAAAGUUAGAAGGUACUUUAGAAUUCAUUUUGUCCAAAGGCAGCUGGGUGGCUCAGUGGAUUGAGAGCCAGACCUAGAGACAGGAAGUCCUGGGUUCAAAUCUGGCCUCAAACAUUUCCUAACUGGAUGACCUUGGGCAAGUCACUUGACCCCCUAUGCCUAGUCCUUACUGCUCUUCUGCCUGGGAACCAAUACAGAAUAUUGAUUCUGAGACAAAAGGUAAUAGUUUGGGGGGGGGGGGAAGCAUCUUGACUAAUACUCAUAUUUCAGAUGAAAAAUUGGAGACCUUGCCAAUUGAUUGAGAGCUAUUUCAGUUAAAUGGUGGGGUAUAGAAGCACAACCAUAUGGAGUUUGAAGAAUAGUAGGUGUUUUAAAAGUGCAUUUUAAAACAUGACAUGCUAAUGAAAAUAUAGGAGGGCAUCUAAAUGACUAAAAUAAAGUAUCUGCAAAGUUAAACA
rnacentral:lncRNA from 1 species